UACGUAGGGUGCAAGCAUUAAUCGGAUUUAUUGGGCGUAAAGGGCGCGUAGGCGGGGAUGUAAGUCAGAUGUGAAAUCCCGGGGCUCAACCCCGGAACAGCAUUUGAAACUACAUUUCUAGAGGGUAGGCGGAGAAGACGGAAUUCCACAAGUAGCGGUGAAAUGCGUAGAUAUGUGGAAGAACACCGGUGGCGAAGGCGGUUUUCUAGCUUAUACCUGACGCUAAUGCGCGAAAGCAAGGGGAGCAAACAGA
rnacentral:rRNA from 1 species